GUGAAAUUAUAGCACAAAGCGUAAGCUAAAGCGUGUAGGUUUAUAGCAAAAAGCCUCCCACGUUACAGUACUAGGCAAAAAUAUCGCCACACAUGCACCAAAGCGGGCGCCAUUCCAAUUUCAUGUAUGGACAAAUGAAUGUAGAGCACUACCAUAUAUGUACAAGAGAACGUAGUUUCUAAUCCUUGAAAAAGGUAAAAUAUAUUACCGAAACCGUCGGAUAUUGAAGC